GACGAAGGGGGCUAGCGUUGUUCGGAAUUACUGGGCGUAAAGCGCGUGUAGGCGGUUGUGCAAGUCGGGUGUGAAAGCCUUGAGCUCAACUCAAGAAAUGCACUCGAUACUGGGUGACUUGAGGACCGGAGAGGAUAGUGGAAUUCCCAGUGUAGUGGUGAAAUACGUAGAGAUUGGGAAGAACACCAGUGGCGAAGGCGGCUAUCUGGACGGUUUCUGACGCUAAGACGCGAAAGCGUGGGGAGCAAACAGG
rnacentral:rRNA from 1 species